rnacentral:misc_RNA from 1 species
UUUCAAUCCCCAUUCAACUUUAAUAUAAGAUACCACUAGCAUCGAGUUUCCAAUUACCUCUACUUUCUAAGCCUUAACAACUAUCAAUGCUUCUAGGCCAUGGAUGCAGGCCUCAUAUUCAGAUCUAUAGGGAUCUUGUAUUGUAUUAUGUCUCAGUCAAUUCCUGACAUAUCUUUAUAAGACCAGGCAAGUGCUCCUUGGUACUUUGUUAAUAAGGUUAUAAAUUUAUCUCUUUCUUCUUG